CCUACGGGAGGCAGCAGUGGGGAAUAUUGCACAAUGGGGGAAACCCUGAUGCAGCGACGCCGCGUGAGUGAAGAAGUAAUUCGUUAUGUAAAGCUCUAUCAGCAGGGAAGAAAAUGAAGGUACCUGUGUAAGAAGCCCCGGCUAACUACGUGCCAGCAGCCGCGGUAAUACGUAGGAGGCAGGCGUUAUCCGGAUUUACUGGGUGUAAAGGGAGCGUAGACGGCAGUGCAAGUCAGGAGUGAAAGGCGGGGGCGCAACCCCCGGACUGCGAUUGAAACUGUACGGCUGGAGUGCAGGAGAGGUAAGCGGAAUUCGUGGUGUAGCGGUGAAAUGCGUAGAUAUUAGGAGGAACACCAGUGGCGAAGGCGGCUUACUAGACUGUAACUGACGUUGAGGCUCGAAAGCGUGGGGAGCAAACAGGAUUAGAUACCCGGGUAGUC
rnacentral:rRNA from 1 species